AGCGAACGCUGGCGGCAGGCUUAACACAUGCAAGUCGAGCGGGCACUUUCGGGUGUCAGCGGCGGACGGGUGAGUAACGCGUGGGAACGUGCCCUCUGGCUCGGAAUAACUCAGGGAAACUUGAGCUAAUACCGGAUACGCCCUUUUGGGGAAAGGCUUGCUGCCGGAGGAUCGGCCCGCGUCUGAUUAGCUAGUUGGUGAGGUAACGGCUCACCAAGGCGACGAUCAGUAGCUGGUCUGAGAGGAUGAUCAGCCACACUGGGACUGAGACACGGCCCAGACUCCUACGGGAGGCAGCAGUGGGGAAUAUUGGACAAUGGGCGCAAGCCUGAUCCAGCCAUGCCGCGUGAGUGAUGAAGGCCUUAGGGUUGUAAAGCUCUUUUAUCCGGGACGAUAAUGACGGUACCGGAGGAAUAAGCCCCGGCUAACUUCGUG
rnacentral:rRNA from 1 species